rnacentral:rRNA from 1 species
CAUGCUCUACGAGGCAGCAGUAGGGAAUAUUGGGCAAUGGACGGAAGUCUGACCCAGCCAUGCCGCGUGCAGGAAGAAGGCGUUAUGCGUUGUAAACUGCUUUUUUAUAGAAAGAAGGAGACCUUGCGAGGUUUGGUGACGGUACUAUAAGAAUAAGCACCGGCUAACUCCGUGCCAGCAGCCGCGGUAAUACGGAGGGUGCGAGCGUUGUCCGGAUUUAUUGGGUUUAAAGGGUGCGUAGGCGGUUUAUUAAGUCAGUGGUGAAAGACGGUCGCUCAACGAUUGCAGUGCCAUUGAUACUGGUAGACUUGAGUUCGUAUGAGGUAGCUGGAAUGGAUAGUGUAGCGGUGAAAUGCAUAGAUAUCAAGAGGAACACCUGAGGCGAAGGCGGGUUGCUGGG